rnacentral:sRNA from 1 species
GCGUGCGGAACAAGGAACUAG